GAGAGAGAGAGGGGGGUCAGCCAAUAUUAUAAUUUUAACACACUUUGAGGGCUGAUCAGCGGGCUGCUGGUGCUAAAUUUUUUUUAUAUAGAUACACGCAGUCACAUAGAGGAAAAAGGAAGAAACAGUCAGUCAUUAUUAUAUAACUUCACACACAUUGAAAGGCUGGCCGGUUGCUGCAUUAUCAUAUUAUACAUACACAGGAACGGAGCAGCCAAGAGGAGAAUUACACGCAUAGACUGAAUUAAAAGGAACACAAUUUUGGCUGCUGCUGGAUUAAACAAUAGACAGAAUACACACGGCAGAUUUGGGCAGAAAAGAAGAAGAAGACGGCUAGAGCAAAAUUGGGAAAUUCAUUCACGUUUCGUCAAUUAAUCCCGGUGAUGUCUUCCAUUAUUUUAUCUUGCGUUUCUUCCAUUAUUAUGAGUAGUUAGAUUUGAUUUAGGACGAACAACGUAAUCUUUUGGAACCCUUUAUUUCAUGCAAUUAAGAUUCUAGUGCUCUUAUUUAAUAUGUGUUGAUUUUAAUGUUGUUCUUAAUGCAUUUAA
rnacentral:lncRNA from 1 species